GAUGAAGAACGCAGCGAAACGCGAUACGUAAUGUGAAUUGCAGAAUUCAGUGAAUCAUCGAAUCUUUGAACGCACAUUGCGCCCCCUGGUAUUCCGGGGGGCAUGCCUGUUCGAGCGUCAUUUCACCACUCAAGCCUCGCUUGGUAUUGGGCAACGCGGUCCGCCGCGUGCCUCAAAUCGACCGGCUGGGUCUUCUGUCCCCUAAGCGUUGUGGAAACUUUCGCUAAAGGGUGUUCGGGAGGCUACGCCGUAAAACAACCCCAUUUCUAAGGUUGACCUCGGAUCAGGUAGGGAUACCCGCUGAACUUAAGCAUAUCAAUAAGCGGAGGA
rnacentral:misc_RNA from 1 species